GAGGCGCUGUCUACGAGUCGGGU
rnacentral:snRNA from 1 species